GACGAACGCUGGCGGCAUGCCUUACACAUGCAAGUCGAACGGUAACGCGGGGCAACCUGGCGACGAGUGGCGAACGGGUGAGUAAUGCAUUGGAACGUGCCCGGGAGGGGGGGAUAACUGUUGGAAAGAGCAGCUAAUACCGCAUAUGAGCUGAGGGGGACAGGGGGGGAGGGCAAGACCUCUCGCUAUCGGAGCGGCAGAUGUCUGAUUAGCUAGUUGGUGGGGUAAAAGCCCACCAAGGCAACGAUCCGUAGCUGGUCUGGGAGGGCGACCAGCCACACUGGGACCGAGAUACGGCCCAGACUCCUACGGGAGGCAGCAGUGGAGAAUUUUGGACAAUGGACGAAAGUCUGAUCCAGCCAUGCCGCGUGCGGGAAGAAGGCCUUCGGGUUGUAAACCGCUUUUGUCAGGGAAGAAAUCUUCUGAGUUAAUACCUCGGGAGGAUGACGGUACCUGAAGAAUAAGCACCGGCUAACUACGUGCCAGCAGCCGCAGUAAUAC
rnacentral:rRNA from 1 species